CUUGCAAUAUCACAAGGAAGAGAUAUCAUGGCCAGGGGACUCACAGGACAGAUACUGUGCAAGUCUGAAUGUGCACAGAUCAUAGCUGUAGACUCCUGGAAGACAAUCUUCAGCAUCAUGCAUCGAACAUCCUGCAAAUAAAUAUAACUUCCCUUCUGGCACAGUGAAAUGUAAGAGUAACCGAAGGCACAAGAAUCUACUGGAACUUCUUCUAACUCAUCUCCCAUAGGAAAUCAGCUAAAUGAGUUUCUGGACCUCCACAGGAAAUCAGCUAAAUGAGUUUCUGGACCUCUAAAUAGUGGUCCGAUUUUUUUACAGCACUGCUGUGAGCCAGCAGUAUUUCCCUUGUUGCCUGUGUAUGCAUUCUCCUCGAUGCUAACAUGCCUCUUCAGACUGAAAGCAUAUACCAUUCUGACUUAUGAAUAGGUGUUCCAGUUCCCUUAAUUGUCCUAAUGGAUCACUUCAAGACCAUAAUAAUGGUCAAACUUUCAAUAUUGUCCCACAGAUGUAGCAGACUGUAUAUUAUGAUCUGAAUCAAAUGUAUCAGUACCAUAAUUUCCAAUAUUCUUAAAUCCCUAUAAUUUUCAAGUAGGAACGUAGAUUUACACAUUAUGAUUUUUGUAAAACUGUUAAGCAGUAGAAUUCCAUGCUAGAGGGCUCCCUUAGGCUAAAAAUACCCCAAACCAAUUAGAAGUAAUUUUAAAAGGACACAAACAGGGAAUUGUCAGUUUUGAGUGAAAUGGUUAAAGGUCUCGAAAAUCCUACAGUGAUUCAGAAAAAUAAUUGUCUAAAUUUGCUCUUCUGACAAAUCACAGCAUAACAAUGUAUAUUAUACGUAUCUUGUGAAGUAACUGGUGGAAGAAAUGGUUAGAUGCUGAUCCUGGUUAUCCUUAACAAUAAUUAAAUAAAUUUAAUUAAAUAAUAAUUAAAUUAAAAUUUAGAAGAUAAAUAACUGGGCCCAGUAUUAACA